rnacentral:rRNA from 1 species
AUGAUGGAAGGCUUUUCUUUUUAUAUUGUGGACAUUGAGGAAAGGAAUCUUCUUGUUAAGGACCCGGCAGAGACAAGCAUUCACGAUGAUGAGAUGAGGGCGAAGCAUGAGUUGAAUGCAAACCUGGUGCUGAGAGGACUUUGGAGGUACAUCCGCGCGCAUUUUGCUGUCUGGUAUUGUCCAGAUGACGACUGGAGCGUGACAUAUGCCUACAACAUGAAUGAACCAUGUGAGAUCGAGGACACCUGGGUCUAUCUCGCGCACUACUGGAGGUACUACAAUGUACAAGCUGGAUUAUCUUAA